UUCCUUGUGGCUCAGCUGGUAAAGAAUCUGCCUGCAAUGCAGAAGACCUAGGUUUGAUCCCUGGGUUGGAAA
rnacentral:tRNA from 1 species